GUAACAAAGGAUAGUGUGACUAAUCCUUCCUCUCUCCAGCAUCAUGUCACAAGUUUUCGUCAUCACAUUGGAUGUCUGCAUUAUCUCUAAAUACUAAUGAAUAUGGUGUCUCCAUUGCUUUCACCUCCAUUACUUUCUGAAAAAGUGUUAGAACGCAGUUCUACUAUAGUAAAGAUAGUGUUUUUAACAUUUGUUUUUAUAGCUGCGUAUGUAACUUCAGACAUCUUACCUGGACAUAUUGGUUUCUUUGCUCUUUUACCUGUUUCUCUCAAAUGGUACAUUGUAUACAAAAAAAAAGCUUUCUGAGCUUUUUCUAUAUAAAUACCAUAUGUUCACUAACUAGUCUAAAAUAGGACACCUGCUUAGGCUUUGAGCUUAAAUUACAAUCAGCAAUGUUUGAUAGGCACCAGACUAAAAUCUAUUCUGUUUUGAACGUGUGGUUAACAGCUGAGACAGCAGUGUGUUAGCAUCUGAACAAAGUGCUGUAAAUCCAGUGUUGUGCAGGUUGGGGUUAAGUCAUGGGAUAGGUGUGUAGAGUCUUGAAAACUGUGUUCAAGAAAUAAAAAACAAACGAGCAUGAAUUGCUGCUGU